CCUGGGUUCAAUCCCUGGGUUGGGAAGACCUCCCAGAGAAGGGGAUGGCUACCCACUCCAGUAUCCUGGCCUGGAAAAUCCCACGGACAGAGAAGCCUGGUGGGCUACAGUCCAUGGAGUAGCAAAAAGCUGGACUCAACUGAGCGACUAACAACCCAGGUUAGCACUGACUCAAAUACAUGCUGCUGCUGUUGCUAAGUCGCUUCAGUCAUGUCCGACUCUGUGUGACCCCAUAGACGGCAGCCCACCAGGCUCCCCCGUCCCUGGGAUUCUCCAGUAUUUCUAGUCUGGAAAAUUCCACGGACAGAGGAGCCUGGCAGUCUACAGCCUAUGGAGUUGCAAAGAGUCAGACACGACUGAGCAUGCACACACGCUCAGGAACCUGGGUUGAUAAAUGCCCAAGAACAUCACAUUUCAAAGAUCCUGAUAUCUUAACCACUAUAUUGGGUGUUUAGAAUCAGAACACAACUAUCCCAUUCCAGACUGACACUCCCCAUGGGAUGUCCUUGACUAACACAUUUUUACUGAAAUCUUCAUAUCUCUAGUGUGGAAUCAAAAGACACAGUAGCUGAUCUCCAGUAGCUUAGUCUCUGUGAGAAGGAAAACUAACCAGAAAAGGAUUUGAAGUGGGAGCUCUGUCCUGUGACAUUUAGGAAACACAAUCCCUUGGGGAAAGGGGAGCCUAAUUUGAGCUGGAAACAUUUGAGAAUGUUUUAUCAAAGAGGCAGCUGUUAAAGGGAUAUUCAUGAGGAUUAGUGUACCACCAUAGGUACCCCACUUACCUCUGGGAAGACCUGAAGUCACAGCUCUUCUAAUAUGAAGCACUAAAAAGUCUCUAGCAUUUUUUCUAUGUUUCUUAAGCUGAGUUAUUCACCUUCUUGGUUCUUGGAUUUGGCUACUUGAUGGUCAAGAAUUCAGUGUUUUGGGAGGAAUGUCACAAAUUGUCAAAAGCUCACCAGGAGAGGAAGCAAACAUUUCUGAGUUAGGAGUGAGUGCUGGAGUAGCCAGGGCUUCCUGGGUGGCCUAGUGGUAAAGAACCUGCCUGCCAAUGCAGGAGAGAGAGGAGACCUGGGUUCGAUCCCUGGGUCAGGUAGAUACCCUGGAGGAGAGCAUGGCAACCCACUCCAGUGUUCUUCCCUGGAGAAUCCCAUAGACAGAGGAGUCUGGCAGGCUACAGUACACAGGGUCGCAAAGAGUC
ensembl:lncRNA